UACAGGGGGUGCAAACGUUGCUCGGAAUCAUUGGGCGUAAAGCGCACGUAGGCGGUUCGUUAUGUCGGAUGUGAAAGCCCCUUGGCUUAACCGAGGAAGUGCAUCCGAAACUGGCGAGCUAGAGUACGAAAGAGGAUCGCGGAAUUCCCGGUGUAGAGGUGAAAUUCGUAGAUAUCGGGAGGAACACCGGUGGCGAAGGCGGCGAUCUGGGUCGAUACUGACGCUGAGGUGCGAAAGCGUGGGGAGCAAACAGG
rnacentral:rRNA from 1 species